GGCUGAGGCUGUGCCCUGCCUCAGGGAGCCGGCGGCGCAGCUGCGGGCAGAGCUGAGCGGGUGGCAGUGGAGGCAGCAGGCAACCCUGGAGCAGGCGCUGCAGCACAUGCACGCGGCCACCUGCACCCAGGAGAAGCUGCAGAGGAGCCAGGAGCAGCUCCAGGCCCUGAGGGAGCAGCUGGGGGCAGAGCAGGAGCAGAGCCAGGGCCUGCGGCACAGCGUGGCUCGGCUGGAGCAGGAGCUGGGAGCCACCUGGGCCCGGGAGCAGCAAAGGCUACAGCAGCUCAGUGGUGCCACAGAGACCAUCCAUGACCUGCAGCAAGAAGCAGCCUCCACCAGAAAGCGCCUGGCAGAGCUGCUGCAAGAGGCGCAGGACACGGCCACGCUGCAGGCAGAGCUGGCCCAAGCCCAGCAAGAGAAAGCCAAGCAGGAGGCGAAGGCUGUGGCCUACAAGGAAGAGAGGCAGCAGCUCCUCUGGGAGCUGAGGGAGCUGCAGGGGUGCCAGGAGCGGAGCAAGCAGGAGGUGAGCGUGUCCCCAGGCCUCUGCGCAGGGCAGCGGGCGGCUGCGCUCAGCCCCUCACGGCCUCUGCACCACGGGCAGGCCCAGGCCCUGCAGGAGCAGCUGCAGGAGCUGAGCAGCCGAGCCCAGCACUGGCAGCAGCUGCACUGGGCCAGCCAGCAGGCUCUGGCUACACGAGAAGAGGAGCUGGUGGUUUGCAAGUUAGAGCUGUUGUUCCUCAAGGAAGAGCUCAGCAAGGCCACGGAGCAGAUAGAAACCCUGCGCUCCUCCCAGGCUCUGGCACGCCACAAGAGCAGCCGGACACACAAGGAGAGGGAGCUGGUGCUGGUCAACAUCAGCCAGCACCUGGCGGAGCGGAUGUGAGUGCGGAGCCUCACCAGGGCAGAGGGACAGGGGCUGCCUCCUCCCACCAACUCGCUCAGCUAACACCUUGUUUCCAGGCAGUUACAUGAGAGACAAGGGCAGGAGAUCCAGCAGCAGAGCGAGCAGAGUGUGGAGCUGACGGGGAGCAGGGCCGAGCUCUCUGCACGCUGCUGCUGUCUGCAGGGGUGCAGGGGACAGACGGACAACCACCAGCCUGCCCGUGCUCCCGCCUCCCCCCACCCCCCCAGCCUGCCCACCAGGCAUCUUCAGGGGGCAGGGGGCAGGGGGCAGGAGGAAAACAUGUACCUCGUGGUCAGAACAUGCGAGCACAAGCGCGAGCGGCUGUAGGUGAGCAGGAGACUGGGGGCACAGCCUGGCCUGACAUGGGGCUGGGCCCCUGCUCCAGGCCGGGGCUGCCCGCCUGGGGCACCGGCCAUGGGAGAGUUGCCUCUGCAGCAGCACGGGCCAGUGCUGCGCCGGGGCUGGGCUCUUGGCCCUCUAGGUCAGCGCAGUUCUGUGCCUUGUCCCAGCCUCCACAGGACAAUGACUAGACGGAAUCAGCCCUGCACCACUCUGCAGGGCCGCCCCCACCCGACACUCGCCUCCCGGACAAGAAGCAGUGCAAAACAAAGCAAGGAUUAAACUGACAACCUUUAAACAAAUAAAAUUCUUUCUGUUCUGUAGCA
rnacentral:lncRNA from 1 species